AUAUGGCUUCAGAUCUCUGCUUGUUAUACAUGCUUAUGUUAUUUGAUUGCUAUCAUCAAAGUGUUUUUAGGGCUUUUAUGUUCUGGUAGUCUAGUUUAAUUGUUAAACUUAUUUUUAAUUGUUGAAUGCAUAUAAAAAUUUUAAAAUUUAUAUUUCACUAUAUUAUCGAAACCCAACACCAAGUGGUUUAUCAUAUUGAUCACACUUGAUACAAGUUGUUCUCUAACAACCAUUUGCACUCUCACCCCAGUGUCACCACAC
rnacentral:lncRNA from 1 species